CGUCGUCACAUCCGAAAUUGCAUAUCCACUCCGCAACGCCACCUUCCCCACCUGCCGUAGCCAUUCUUCAUCCCGUCCCCAACCCCACAUUCCCUAUUCCCCUCCCCAACCUUCGCUCACCUCCUUCCCCCCGGCGGCUAGCCGCUGCACCGCCUCCUCCUGCACGGCAGCAUGCACGGGCAGAAAUCAAGGCAGCGUGCGGACCGGAGAGAUGGAGGAGACGGGCGGGCGCAUGGUUGUGAAGGGCUCGCGGCGGGAUUAGCAGCUCAUCCCCGUGGGCGGUCCACCCUGCCUCCUUGCGGCCUCCUUGCCGAGGAAACCACCACGCGCCCCCACCACGAAUCCCACCACGAUGACCCCCACCGUGUCCUAUUUUUCUCUUUUCUUGCGUCUAUUUGCGUUUUUGAUUCAUCCCCUUUUUUCUUACUUUUUUCCUGGUUUUCCUGGUCUUCACUUUCCCCUUUUUUCUCCGAUCUUAUUUCCUAGUCUGUUGCCCUCCGCGCGUCCGGGGAUGCGGAUGGAGAAGCUUGCGGUUGCCGACGGGGGGGGCAGUCUGCAAGGUAAGAUGGACAGAGGAGCUCCCCUUUGACGCCCGCAUGGAGGAGCUCCUGUUCGCUGUCGCCUUCCGUCUCACGCCCAUCUCCGUCCGCAAGUGCGCUCCGCCUCACCCCAUCUCUGUGUGGCGGCGCCCGUUCAGGCUGUGGCAGAUUUGUUCUCCUGCCGACACAGAACUUGCUUGCGUGAGGCAGCCCGUGCUCACCCCGCUAAUUGAUCGAUUUGGGGCUGGGAGGAAAAAAUAUGCAGGGUCGAUGGAUUUGUGAUUUGACGGUUGAAGGAGGUGAGAUUCUUUAUUUCUUUGCUGCCCUUGCCUUGGUGAUAUGAACACAUUCCCCUUCGGGAGAGUCGCUCGGUGUGGAGCUGGGGCUGGGUUGAGCAGCCGCAUGGCAGAACCGCUUCUCUAUCCAAAUCCUGACUCCUCCCUAAAAAAAAUCUUCACCAUCCCCGCGUCCCCCUUUCUUCAUCUCUCCCUCACCUGGUUCCUGCCGUUCCUGCCGAUGCAAGACUGCCCCUGCCUCACAGAACGCGGGGAUAAAUCAAGGCGGCGUGCGGGUCGGAGAGAGGGAAGGAGGCGGGAGGGAGCAUGGUUGUGGAGGCCUCGCGGCGACCGGCGAGGUCGGCUGGUGCUUGCCCUCGUCCUCCAUCCGGCACAGCUAUGGAGUUCCCGCACGACACCCGUUCCCCCGCACCACCGCACACACCAACUACCCCGCGAAAUCAGCAGCUCAUCCCCGCAGGUCAUCCACUAUGCCUCUUUGUGGUCCUUGCCAGGGAAAAACCACGCCACCUCCACCGCGAAUCCACCAGGACUCCCACCAUGCCCUUCUUUUCUCUUUCCUGCCUCUAUUUGAUUUUUUGAUUCUUUAAGUUUCUUAAUUUUUUUCCUGGUCUUAACUUGCCCUUUUCCUCUGAUCUUUGUUAGCUUGUGGGGUGGCUGUGUGAUUAGACAAAGGGAUUUGAGGUUGGAUUUCCUUGUUGCCUUCAUAAGUUGGAAUUGAGGUCCAAUUUGUUGUACGCGAUACAGUGCUGGUCCAGGCGACCCCAUCCCUGCGUAUAUGUAUCACGCACAAGAGGUCAGGGAGAGCUGGGGUCCCAGGAGAGGACUGGAGCUCCUCCCGGCCGCGCGGCGUUUCUCCCAACCGUUGUCGCGCGUGAUUCCUCUCAGUGGCGCGCCAUUCUCGUGCCGCCGGCCGCUCGCUCUUCCUCCCGACGUCAGACCGCCCGACUCCUGAUUAGGCCCUAGGUCACGCAGCUCAAUCUCCCCAGUCGUCUCCAUGAUUUUUGGAAUUCACUCUCUUGCUUUGUGUUCUGCUCCGUCCAGAUGUUUUUGUGGAUUUUGUGCUAAUGGUUAGUAUUGAUUAGCAUGACAGCAAAACAGCUACGUAUUUCUGUAUUCUCCUCAGAAAGGAAGCAAUUAUUUUUGUUCAGCUUUGUUUAGCACACUGGAUGUGCCUAUGUGAGGGAGAUCAGUUGUUCUUCUUAGAUCUCUUCUAUUUUUUCUCCAGGAAUAUAGAUUUGAUCUGGUCCAAACAUACUGCUGAAACUUUUGGGUCGUUGACUCCGGAUGCCCUCUAUGGAUCAUUAUUUGUUGAAUUUCUUGCUAAUCACGCGAAUGGUAUGUACUAAUUGUGUUUCUCAAUUUUACAUUCCCCUUUUUUUUCUGAUCUGCACCUUGCUUUUUUUUUCUGACCUUCCUCCGUUAAAUUGUGGGGUUUGCUGUGUACAUGGAUUUUAGGUUGAUGUUUCAAAAUCGAUCAAACAAAAAGGAAGUGGUGAUGAGUUACAGUUAGAUAUGAAAGGGGGAUUUAUUUUUUGCCCCAGUUUACUUAUGGCCUUUAUGGUUUUCCCCUAUUUAGUUUGCAAUCGAUUUUUUGCCCCUGUUUACCUUGAUGAUUUGCCCUUUCUCAGUUAAUCUGAAUUACUUCUCCUCCUCUGUUCUCAGCCACGGUGGCGCUUGCCACUGCAUCCUCACCACCACUUAUUUCCGGCCAUAAUCAGGUCAAUCCUGGUCAGCUGAGGGCAAAUGGAGACAGGGGUAGCGGCGGCCUACUAUCGGUAUCGGCCGUAUCGAUUGGUGCACAGCAUACACGGGGCUGCCUUUGACGGAACUGAAAGAAACACAACUCCCCUUGUUAAUGGACGCGUUCCCGUGCUGGAUAGAAAUAAGCCAACAUAUUUAAUAGAAACAAGCCUGUCGAGGAGGCAGCCAUGCCCUGUGGAUGAUUAUCGUUUCC